GAUGAACGCUGGCGGCGUGCCUAAUACAUGCAAGUCGAGCGAACAGACGAGGAGCUUGCUCCUCUGACGUUAGCGGCGGACGGGUGAGUAACACGUGGAUAACCUACCUAUAAGACUGGGAUAACUUCGGGAAACCGGAGCUAAUACCGGAUAAUAUAUUUAACCGCAUGGUUCAAUAGUGAAAGACGGUUUUGCUUUCACUUAUAGAUGGAUCCGCGCCGCAUUAGCUAGUUGGUAAGGUAACGGCCUACCAAGGCAACGAUGCGUAGCCGACCUGAGAGGGUGAUCGGCCACACUGGAACUGAGACACGGUCCAGACUCCUACGGGAGGCAGCAGUAGGGAAUCUUCCGCAAUGGGCGAAAGCCUGACGGAGCAACGCCGCGUGAGUGAUGAAGGUCUUCGGAUCGUAAAACUCUGUUAUUAGGGAAGAACAAAUGUGUAAGUAACUAUGCACGUCUUGACGGUACCUAAUCAGAAAGCCACGGCUAACUACGUG
rnacentral:rRNA from 1 species